rnacentral:rRNA from 1 species
AGAGUUUGAUCCUGGCUCAGAUUGAACGCUGGCGGCAGGCUUAACACAUGCAAGUCGAGCGGGGAAGUGUAGCUUGCUACAUUACCUAGCGGCGGACGGGUGAGUAAUGCUUAGGAAUCUGCCUAUUAGUGGGGGACAACAUUCCGAAAGGAAUGCUAAUACCGCAUACGUCCUACGGGAGAAAGCGGGGAUGACCUUGCGCUAAUAGAUGAGCCUAAGUCGGAUUAGCUAGUUGGUGGGGUAAAGGCCUACCAAGGCGACGAUCUGUAGCGGGUCUGAGAGGAUGAUCCGCCACACUGGGACUGAGACACGGCCCAGACUCCUACGGGAGGCAGCAGUGGGGAAUAUUGGACAAUGGGGGGAACCCUGAUCCAGCCAUGCCGCGUGUGUGAAGAAGGCCUUAUGGUUGUAAAGCACUUUAAGCGAGGAGGAGGCUACUAGUAUUAAUACUACUGGAUAGUGACGUUACUCGCAGAAUAAGCACCGGCUAACUCUGUGCCAGCAGCCGCGGUAAUACAGAGGGUGCGAGCGUUAAUCGGAUUUACUGGGCGUAAAGCGUGCGUAGGCGGCUUUUUAAGUCGGAUGUGAAAUCCCCGAGCUUGACUUGGGAAUUGCAUUCGAUACUGGGAAGCUGAGUAUGGGAGAGGAUGGUAGAAUUCCAGGUGUAGCGGUGAAAUGCGUAGAGAUCUGGAGGAAUACCGAUGGCGAAGGCAGCCAUCUGGCCUAAUACUGACGCUGAGGUACGAAAGCAUGGGGAGCAAACAGGAUUAGAUACCCUGGUAGUCCAUGCCGUAAACGAUGUCUACUAGCCGUUGGGGCCUUUGAGGCUUUAGUGGCGCAGCUAACGCGAUAAGUAGACCGCCUGGGGAGUACGGUCGCAAGACUAAAACUCAAAUGAAUUGACG